GUCUCCUCUGUGGAGUCUUCACUGAAAACCUCUAUCUUUGGAUACAGGAGCAAUUGGUGCCAAUUACAUGUUGACUAACCGCACACCAUUGACAACUGAACAAAGAAGCAUAUCCAGCUUUCAGCAGAUUUGAGGUCCAGUUGUGUACAAAUCCAGCUCCUCAGGCUUUUCAAGUUACAGACCAGAGGGAUGCAGAGAUUGAAACAUUUUACCUUGCAUGUCCGAGUUUGACUGUCAGGAUCUGAUGGCAUUUUGUAAGAGAGGUAUCAAUGUUCUCAAGCAGUUUGUCUUCUGCAGCUUAUGAGUUUGGAUUUUCUGUUCAAGUCGGCAUGUGCAUGACCUCAGCAUCAGUGAUAUGGCAAUAAGAUCAGCCUUGUUGACUAGAUCUGCAUUUUUUUGUUGAUUACUAUGGAUGUUACGUUUAGAUACAUAAUUUUAAAGUAGGAUGCAUGUGAAAGUUUGUGCUAUAAAACAAAUCACUUUCUCUCGGUCCCCUUCAAGCACAUUUCUGUGCAUCCCUAAAGAAAGUUGAGAGUAUUCACAUGCUCCCAUUUCUCCUUCUCUGACUAGAGUACUGAAGUACCACAGCUACCCCCCUAAAAACCAACAAAGCAAAAAAUAAUAAACAAGCACAAUGUCCAAUCUACCUAUCAACUUUAUAUUGUUUUAAUCAAAUCAAUAACUUGUGUUUUUUUUUUUAACCUGAAAAUCUAAGACUAAUGUAAUUUACAGUAUGCUAAUUCAUUUUAUUUUUUGCUGCUCCUGUCAUUUGACUGGGUUUCAGGGUAACAACUGCAAAAGGACUUUUCUUACUCUAUUUCUAUAUGUAUGCUCUGCCACGACCUAUGUGUCCUUGGGGAAGAGAAAUGUGGGUGAUAUUAAAAAAAAAAAAGGUUGAAAUCAGUUGGAAAAAGUUUGAAAAGGAAGCUUCCACUUUCAGAAUGAAUCUUGAGACAUGUAAACAAGGUAAAUCCUUCAGUGGAUUGCCUGUGAAGACACAGGCAAAGUCUUCAAAAUACUGUCUGCAGUACCAUUUGGUGACCAUUUGGUACAUAGAUGAUUCUAGUUAAUGGACAUGAUGAGACUUAAUCAUUGACAAAUGAAUCAAAUGGAAUACAAAGCCUCAUUCAUUAAUGAACAAAUAAAAUGGAAUGCUAAGACUCAUUCUGUUAAUAUAAAAUAAGAAAAGGGAUUUCUGAUAACAUGGGAAAUGCUUUUAAUGAGCACUGAAACCACUUUGGAAUCUUGACUUUCUGUUUAUCAUCCAGGGUAACCCUAAUGGUCUCUGGUGCUCAGGUACUUCCACUGUGGUGUGAAAUGACAGUUUCCAUGUUGUGAUCAGCUAAGAUGCUUCUGCUGGAAGUUCUCUGAAAGUUGUCUCUUUUGCAGAUUGUCAGACAUCUGCAUGUUUAUUGAAGUUCAGACUCUUGUCUGAACCCCCCAUGAUUCAGGAGGACACAGUCAGUGACCUACUACUCCAGCUGGCCUGUCAUAAGUCCAUGGGGCCAGAUGACAUUCACAGAAUCACAGAAU